CUUGGAUACAAUUCUAUAUAUAUCACAACCAAGUUCCAAGUACACUGUGCUCCACCGGAGCUAUGCUCACUAUUGUGGACAAUUUUAAAGAGGAAGAAGAACCAAGAAAAAUCUAUUCAGUGCCUGUCCUGACUACAAUACUUGAACAUGGGAGAGAGCCAACGGUCAACCAUUUAGCAGUGUGGAGCCAAAGAAAUUUCUGGUGGUCCAAACUGAGCAAUAAAGCUAUUAAAACUA